rnacentral:rRNA from 1 species
CGGGUGAGUAACGCGUGAGGAACCUGCCUCAAAGAGGGGGGAAACAGUUGGAAACGACUGCUAAUACCGCAUAAGCCCACAGCUCGGCAUCGAGCAGAGGGAAAAGGAGCAAUCCGCUUUGAGAUGGCCUCGCGUCCGAUUAGCUAGUUGGUGAGGUAACGGCCCACCAAGGCGACGAUCGGUAGCCGGACUGAGAGGUUGAACGGCCACAUUGGGACUGAGACACGGCCCAG